rnacentral:rRNA from 1 species
UACGUAGGGUCCGAGCGUUGUCCGGAAUUAUUGGGCGUAAAGGGCUCGUAGGCGGUUUGUCGCGUCGGGAGUGAAAACCUACAGCUUAACUGUGGGCUUGCUUUCGAUACGGGCAGACUUGAGGCAUGCAGGGGAGAACGGAAGUUCCUGGUGUAGCGGUGAAAUGCGCAGAUAUCGGGAGGAACACCGGUGGCGAAGGCGGUUCUCUGGGCCUGUACUGACGC